rnacentral:rRNA from 1 species
AUUGAACGCUGGCGGCAGGCCUAACACAUGCCAGUCGAGCGGAUGAAGGGAGCUUGCUCCUGGAUUCAGCGGCGGACGGGUGAGUAAUGCCUAGGAAUCUGCCUGGUAGUGGGGGAUAACGUCCGGAAACGGGCGCUAAUACCGCAUACGUCCUGAGGGAGAAAGUGGGGGAUCUUCGGACCUCACGCUAUCAGAUGAGCCUAGGUCGGAUUAGCUAGUUGGUGGGGUAAAGGCCUACCAAGGCGACGAUCCGUAACUGGUCUGAGAGGAUGAUCAGUCACACUGGAACUGAGACACGGUCCAGACUCCUACGGGAGGCAGCAGUGGGGAAUAUUGGACAAUGGGCGAAAGGCUGAUCCAGCCAUGCCGCGUGUGUGAAGAAGGUCUUCGGAUUGUAAAGCACUUUAAGUUGGGAGGAAGGGCAGUAAGUUAAUACCUUGCUGUUUUGACGUUACCAACAGAAUAAGCACCGGCUAACUUCGUG